CCUACGGGAGACAGCAGUGGGGAAUAUUGGGCAAUGGACGCAAGUCUGACCCAGCAACGCCGCGUGAAGGAAGAAGGCUUUCGGGUUGUAAACUUCUUUUAAGGGGGAAGAGCAGAAGACGGUACCCCUUGAAUAAGCCACGGCUAACUACGUGCCAGCAGCGGCGGUAAUACGGAGGUGGCAAGCGUUGUCCGGAUUUACGGGGUGUAAAGGGCGUGCAGCCGGAGAGGCAAGUCAGGUGUGAAAUCCGCGGGCUCAACUCGCGAACUGCAUUGGAAACUGCUUCCCUUGAGUGUCGGAGAGGUAAGCGGAAUUCCUAGUGUAGCGGUGAAAUGCGUAGAUAUUAGGAAGAACACCAGUGGCGAAGGCGGAUUACUGGACGACAACUGACGGUGAGGCGCGAAAGCGUGGGGAGCAAACAGGAUUAGAUACCCCUGUAGUC
rnacentral:rRNA from 1 species